UUAAAUUCUAAUAAUUUAAUUGGCUGUUUAUGGUCACGUGAUAUUGAAUAGAAAAUUCCAUUUCCCAAGAGUGCAAUGGAACACGUUCCAUUGCACUCUCCGCGAGUGCAAUGGAAUAAAACGUAUAGUGCAAUUGCACUCUUUGUGUUUUCGAUAAAUCGCAUCCCUCAAAAUGCUUCUCAUACGAAUCUAUUAGUCUAUUUUGGUAUUAUAUAAAACAAAUAAUGAAUGUUUAUGAG